UUGCUUACCAUGAGCACUUCUGGUGACUUUCAAGUCAAGGCAACGGCUGGAGACACUCACCUUGGUGGCCAAGACUUCGAUAGCAGAUUGGUGAAAUACUGUGUUGAGGAAUUCAAGAGGAAGCACAAAUUGGAUGUUAGUGGAAAUGAAAGAGCUCUUAGGAGGUUAAAAAAUGAAUGUGAGAAAGCAAAGAAGAGACUCUCAUUUGAGUCUGACUUCGAGGUUGAAAUUGACUGUUUGUGUGAGAAUACUGAUUUCACCAUAACUUUUACUCGUGCCAUAUUUGAACAACUAAACGGGGAUUUAUUUAUCAAGUGUAUGGAGCCUGUGAAGAAGUGCUUAACGGAUGCUAACAUGAACAUAAGCAGUGUCGACGAUGUUGUUCUGGCCGGUGGCUCUACUAGAAUUCCCAUGGUGCAACAGCUAUUACAGGAGUUUUUCAAGGGGAAGGAGCUGUGCAAGGGCGUUAAUCCGGAUGAGGCAGUGGCAUAUGGUGCCGCGGUUCAAGCCGCAACCUUGACUAGGAAUGGCAAAGGGGAGUUUAUUCAGGACUACACUCUCAAGGACGUCACUCCUCUUACAAUUGGUUUGGAGUUUGCAGAUAAUAAGAAGUUCGUAAAGUUGAUUCCAAGAAACUCACUAAUUCCCGUCAAGAAGAAAAUAAAAUGUCCUAUCGAGGAUAACCAAGUUUCGGUCGACUUCCGCAUGUAUGAGGGUGAGAGUAGCACGCCAGCCAAUCUCAACUUUUUGGGUGAAUGCAGCCUCCGUUACUUUCCUCCAGCUCCCAAACUUGUUCAUAAUUUCGAUGUUUUCUUCGAAAUUGAUCCUGAUGGCAUCUUGAGUGUCUUCACUGAAGAUGAGUCCUCAGGCCAGAAGAAUGAGAUCAUAAUCAACCGUGACGGACCGAAGAACUUUGAGGGAAUUGAGAGAGAGGUUAGAAACUAUAAUCAAACUCUGAAAUAGCAUAUAUUAUAAAAUCAAGCUCUUUGAUAUAUCUUUAUUUGUACCAGGUUAUGUUGUUUUAAGGUGAUAUCAUGCGUUUGUGAUCUACUUCAUCCACUGGAUACUUGCAGCCCCAAUAUUCCUUACCAACUAUGGCCGUCUACACUACGACGCAUCGCAG
rnacentral:lncRNA from 1 species